UACGUAGGGUGCGAGCGUUGUCCGGAAUUACUGGGCGUAAAGAGCUCGUAGGUGGUUUGUCGCGUUGUUCGUGAAAACCUGAGGCUUAACCUUGGGCGUGCGGGCGAUACGGGCAGACUGGAGUACUGCAGGGGAGACUGGAAUUCCUGGUGUAGCGGUGGAAUGCGCAGAUAUCAGGAGGAACACCGGUGGCGAAGGCGGGUCUCUGGGCAGUAACUGACGCUGAGGAGCGAAAGCUAGGGGAGCGAACAGG
rnacentral:rRNA from 1 species